rnacentral:rRNA from 14 species
CGUGCCGUGAGGUGUUGGGUUAAGUCCCGCAACGAGCGCAACCCCUACCUCCUGUUGCUACCAGGUAAUGCUGGGCACUCUGGAGGAACCGCCGGUGACAAAUCGGAGGAAGGUGGGGAUGACGUCAGAUCAGCAUGGCCCUUAUGUCCAGGGCUACACACGUGCUACAAUGGCCGGUACAGAGGGACGCGAAGCAGCGAUGUGGAGCAAAUCUCAUAAAGCCGGUCUCAGUUCGGAUUGAAGUCUGCAACUCGACUUCAUGAAGCCGGAAUCGCUAGUAAUCGGAGAUCAGCUACGCUCCGGUGAAUACGUUCCUGAGCCUUGUACACACCGCCCGUCAAGUCAU